GGGUCGGUGGCGUAGUGGUCAUCGCGUCUGUCUUACAUGCAAUUAUUCCUUUUCGUGUACACAGAAGGUCGCCAGUUCAAUCCUGGCCCGACUCA